rnacentral:rRNA from 1 species
CCGAUGGAUAACAGGUUGAAAUUCCUGUACUGCUUAUGGACAGAACUGUGGGGACGCAGAAGGAGAGCACGAGCCGGAAAUGGAAAAGCCGGUACAAGCGUAUAGCAGUCAUGCAGGCAAAACCGCAUGAAAAAUGUAAAGCGUUAUGUGGAUCGAACAUUAGUAGAGAAGCGUGUGAGCCAGCUGCCAAGAAAAGCCGCUAUUGCUUCAUAAGUACCCGUACCGUAAACCGACACAGGUGGAUGAGGAGAGAAUCCUAAGGUCGGCGGGAGAAGUGUUGUUAAGGAACUCGGCAAAAUGACUCCGUAACUUCGGGAGAAGGAGUGCCACAGAGAUGUGGCCGCAGAGAAAUGGCCCAAGCAACUGUUUAGCAAAAACACAGGUCUAUGCAAAACCGAAAGGUGAGGUAUAUGGGCUGACGCCUGCCCGGUGCUGGAAGGUUAAGAGGAGAGGUUAGAGCAAUCGAAGCUUUGAAUUCAAGCCCCAGUAAACGGCGGCCGUAACAAUAACGGUCCUAAGGUAGCGAAAUUCCUUGUCGGGUAAGUUCCGACCCGCACGAAGGGCGUAAUGAUUUGGGCACUGUCUCAACAACACACCCGGUGAAAUUGAAAUACCAGUGAAGAUGCUGGUUACCUGCGCCAGGACGGAAAGACCCCAUGGAGCUUUACUCCAGUUUGAUACUGGGAUUCGGUACUGUCUGUACAGGAUAGGUGGGAGGCUAGGAAAUGGUGACGCCAGUUGCCAUGGAGCCAACCUUGGGAUACCACCCUUACAGUACUGGGUUUCUAACCUGCAGCCGUAACCCGGCUGGGGGACAAUGUCUGACGGGGAGUUUGACUGGGGCGGUCGCCUCCGAAAGAGUAUCGGAGGCGCUCAAAGGUUCCCUCAGAACGGUUGGAAACCGUUCGAAGAGUGCAAAGGCAGAAGGGAGCUUGACUGCGACACCGACGGAUGGAGCAGAUACGAAAGUAGGACUUAGUGAUCCGGUGGUAUAAAGUGGGAUUGCCAUCGCUCAACGGAUAAAAGCUACCCUGGGAUAACAGGCUUAUCACUCCCAAGAGUUCACAUCGACGGAGUGGUUUGGCACCUCGAUGUCGGCUCAUCGCAUCCUGGAGCUGUAGCAGGUUCCAAGGGUUGGGCUGUUCGCCCAUUAAAGCGGUACGCGAGCUGGGUUCAGAACGUCGUGAGACAGUUCGGUCCCUAUCCGGCGUGGGCGUAGGAUAUUUGAGAGGAGCUGUCCUUAGUACGAGAGGACCGGGAUGGACAAACCUCUGGUGUAUCUGUUGUUUUACCUAAGGCAUGGCAGAGUAGCCAAGUUUGGCAGGGAUAAACGCUGAAGGCAUCUAAGCGUGAAGCCCCCCUCAAGAUAAGAUAUCCCAUCUUCGGAGUAAGACCCCUUGAAGACUACAAGGUUGAUAGGCUUUGUGUGUAAGUGCGGUAACGCACUCAGCUGAGAAGUACUAAUAGGUCGAGGAC